GGCUGGCUUAGUUGGUGGAGCAUGAGACUCUUAGUCUCAGGGUUGUGGGUUCGAGUCCCACAUUGGCCA
rnacentral:tRNA from 1 species